rnacentral:rRNA from 1 species
GUAUGCUUAUAAUACGUACUGCCUGCUCAAUGAAUUUUAAAUAGCCGCAGUAUAAUGUGCCAAGGUAGCAUAAUAAAUUGCCUUAUAAUUAAAGGCUAGAAUGAACGGCUUAACAUACGAAUUUCUUUAUUAAUCCAACUAUUUUAACUUUUUCUAAAGGUAAAAAAACCUUUAUUUCUAGAGGGACGACAAGACCCUGUCGAGCUUAACUAUUGUUGAACUGGGGCGGUAAAAAACAAAUUCUUUAUUAUCACUUCCUAAUCUAUCCUUAUCUUAAGAUACGAACAAGCUACCGCAGGGAUAACAGCAUAAUUCUUUUCUAAAGACCUUAUUUAAAAAAGAGAUUGUGACCUCGAUGUUGAAUUAUUUAUUCUUUUAGGAGCAAAAUCUUAAAAAGAAAGUCUGUUCGACUUUUAAAAAUUUACAUGAUUUGAGUUCAGACCGGCGUAAGCCAGGUCGGUUUCUAUCUUCUUUUACUAAUCUUUAGUACGAAAGGAUCAAGAUCAGUGCUUUAAGCAUUUCCUUAUUUGGCAGAC